GGAGUUUGAUCAUGGCUCAGAUUGAACGCUGGCGGCAUGCUUUACACAUGCAAGUCGAGCGGCAGCGCGGGACUCAGGCAACUGAGCCCUGGCGGCGAGCGGCGGACGGGUGAGUAAUACAUCGGAACGUAUCCCGUAGUGGGGGAUAACCCGGCGAAAGCCGGGCUAAUACCGCAAAUGCUCUACGGAGGAAAGCGGGGGACCCGGCAGGCAACUGAGGGGCCUCGCGCUAUGGGAGCGGCCGAUGGCCGAUUAGCUAGUUGGCGGGGUAAAGGCCCACCAAGGCGACGAUCGGUAGCUGGUCUGAGAGGAUGAUCAGCCACACUGGGACUGAGACACGGCCCAGACUCCUACGGGAGGCAGCAGUGGGGAAUUUUGGACAAUGGGGGCAACCCUGAUCCAGCCAUGCCGCGUGCGGGAAGAAGGCCUUCGGGUUGUAAACCGCUUUUAGUCGGGAAGAAAGGGUUCUCUUGAAUAGGGGGGAUCUUUGACGGUACCGGCGGAAUAAGCACCGGCUAACUACGUGCCAGCGGCCGCGGUAAUACGUAGGGUGCGAGCGUUAAUCGGAAUUACUGGGCGUAAAGCGUGCGUAGGCGGUUCCUCAAGUCCGUUGUGAAAGCCCCGGGCUCAACCUGGGAAUGGCAGUGGAAACUAGGGGACUGGAAUCUGGCAGAGGGGGGUGGAAUGCCGCGUGUAGCAGUGAAAUGCGUAGAGAUGCGGCGGAACACCGAUGGCGAAGGCAGCCCCCUGGGCUGAGAUUGACGCUCAGGCACGAAAGCGUGGGGAGCAAAC
rnacentral:rRNA from 1 species